CUGCGUUCUAGAAACUUGCAAGAGCUGAGAAGACAGCUUGGUGAGUGAGGUCUCCUUACUCUGGCUUUUUAUUUCUUUUCUUUUUUUAAACAGCUUUGUUGUGAUGGAUUUAAAGGAGCUGUUCCUAUUGCGGCUGGAGACCUCGCUCCCGGGCCGAUGGCUUCCCCUGCCGGCAUUUCUUGGCAUGAUGGUGCCCGUGACCAGCUGCUGUCCCACCUGAGGGGCUUGGAUCCCUGGCAGCUGGAGGACUUCAAACUAGCCCUGCAGUGCCCGGAGCUGCUGCCGGAGGGCGCCCGCAGGAUCCCCUGGGCAGACCUGAGAGCCGCGGGCCCCGCCGACCUGCUCUGCCUGCUGGAGGAGCGCUUCCCCGGGAGGCGGACGUGGGAGGCGGCCCUCCGCGUCUUUGAGGACCUGCGGCUGAGCUCGCUGUGCGAGCGGAUGCGAGCAGAGCUGCACGCUGGAAGUCCAUGGCCCCUGUGGAGGGUCUGAGGAAGCUUGGUCUUCUGCUUCGUGGUGACCGGCACCUGACCCACCUGGACCUGAGCUCCAACAGCCUGGACACCGCUGUGUCCAGGGGCGUGUUCAGAAUGCUGGGGCACUCAGCCUGUGGCCUCAAGUAUCUGUGGUUGGAGUCCUGUGGCCUGAGCACUGAGGUUUACCAUCAGCUCUUCACCGAACUCGGCAGGAACUCGAGUCUGAGCUUCCUCAGCCUGGCGGACAACGACCUCUCCCACGUUGAGCUGGAGAGACUGCGGGAGUCCCCGGGGACGGCCACCUGUGCCCUGAAGGAGCUGUCGCUGGAGAAGGGGAACCUGUCAGCGGCCGCCUGUGAGGACUUGGCCUCACUUCUCACCAGCACCCCCCGCCUGACUCGACUGUGCCUGGGACUGAACCCGCUCGGAGAUGAGGGCGUGCAGCUGCUGUGUGGCUCCCUGACUCGGCCUGAGUGUGUCCUGCAGAGACUGGAGCUCUGGUGCUGCCGGCUCAGCACGCCCAGCUGCAGGCACCUGUCGGACGCCCUCCUCCGGAGCCGGAGCCUGACGCAUCUGAACCUGAGGAGGAACAGCCUGGGAGACGGGGGAGUGAAGCUUCUGAGCUCAGCCCUGGGCCGUGCGGACUGCGCCCUGCAGAGCCUGAACUUGUCACACUGUUCUCUCACGGUGGCGGGCUGUCGCGAGCUUGCUCACGCCCUCAAGCGCAAUGGUCACCUGAAGAUUCUGGACGUUGGGAACAAUGACAUUCAGGACGAGGGGGUGAAGGAGCUGUGCAGCGUCCUGAAAACUCCGAAUUGUGUGUUGCAGACACUUGGGUUGGAGAAAUGCAGUUUGACGGCCGCUUGCUGCCGGCCACUGUCCUCUGUUCUCGGAAGCAGUAAAAGCCUGGAGAACCUGAACCUUUUAGGAAACGACCUGGGGCCAGACGGAGUCAGCAGGCUGUGGAUGCCCUUGAGAAAGCUGACGUGCAAGCUGCGGAAACUCGGGCUCGAAAAAGACCUGUGCUCUGUAGUGAGUGCCGAGUUGGAGAAACUACAUGAGAAGGGGUGCUUUUUGAGAGUCAAGUCUCAGUGGGACUUUAAUGACCCUGAAGAGAGAUGGUGGUGGUGACCCAUGGAGGCGACACCACAGGUUUACCACGGCCCGUCCUGGGAGAACAGCCUCCCUGACGCGUGUGUUGCUCAGGAAUUUCCGUUCAUGGGGACGAAUGAGCCGUCGCCUCCAGGAUGCCCCUUCAGUCUGUGACAGGCAGCACGUUAAAUGCCCAGUCUGCAGAAUACUAACCCAAGUCUCUAUUUGGCCCAAGAUCCUACAUGGGCUCACCUGUAAGUGUUUUUUUUCCCGCGUUGGUGUAAUAAUUUAAAUUCUUGGGGCCAUUAAGAGGAUUAAAUAAAGCAAAGGAUAUAAAAAAAUGUCUUGAGGAA
ensembl:lncRNA